rnacentral:rRNA from 1 species
GUGAACGCUGGCAGUGUGCCUAAUGCAUGCAAGUCGAGCGGUCCCGCAAGGGACAGCGGCGAACGGCUGAGCAAUUCACAGGGAACCUGCCCUACGGUGGGGGACAACCCGGGGAAACUCGGGUUAAUACCGCGUACGCCUCCCGGCUAUAAGGCUGGGAAGGAAAGCCGCAAGGCGCCGAAGGAUGGUCCUGUGUCCCAUCAGGUAGUUGGUGAGGUAACGGCCCACCAAGCCUGCGACGGGUAGCUGGUCUGAGAGGACGGCCAGCCAGAGGGGGACUGAGACACGGCCCCCACUCCUACGGGAGGCAGCAGCAAGGGAUCUUGGGCAAUGGGCGAAAGCCUGACCCAGCGACACUGCGUGGGGGAAGAAGGCCUUCGGGUCGUAAACCCCUUUUCUUGGGGAAGAGCAAGGACGGUACCCAGGGAAUAAGUCCCGGCUAACUACGU